rnacentral:rRNA from 1 species
UGCGUAGGCGGAAUGAUAAGUUAGUGGUGAAAGCCCCCGGCUCAACCGGGGAACUGCCAUUAAUACUGUCAUUCUUGAGUAUAGUUGAAGUGGGCGGAAUGUAUCAUGUAGCGGUGAAAUGCUUAGAUAUGAUACGGAACACCGAUAGCGUAGGCAGCUUGCUAAACUAUAACUGACGCUCAGGCACGAAAGCGUGGGGAGCAAACAGGAUUAGAUACCCUGGUAGUCC